rnacentral:rRNA from 1 species
UACGUAGGGUGCAAGCGUUGUCCGGAAUUAUUGGGCGUAAAGAGCUCGUAGGCGGUCUGUUGCGUCGGCUGUGAAAACCCGGGGCUCAACUCCGGGCCUGCAGCCGAUACGGGCAGACUAGAGUUCGGCAGGGGAGACUGGAAUUCCUGGUGUAGCGGUGGAAUGCGCAGAUAUCAGGAAGAACACCGGUGGCGAAGGCGGCUCUCUGGGCCUUACCUGACGCUGAGGAGCGAAAGCGUGGGUAGCGAACAGG